rnacentral:tRNA from 1 species
AGCUUCCAUAGCGCAGUUGGUAGCGCAACUGAUUCGUAAUCAGUAGGUCGAGGGUUCGAGUCCCUUUGGAAGCUU